rnacentral:rRNA from 1 species
UGUGAGUCCUUUGAGGAAUUAGCUAGGUUGUCUCUUGGGUGAUUUUAAAGGAGCGAGAACAUUGCUUCAUUGCGGCGUAUGUCUAUAUACGCUUCAUUUGCAAUGACCUCACAACCUUUAAACUCACCUCAAGAUACUUCGCCAUUUGCUUUGUUCUUUAUGAUUUCAUAAUUUUAAAGUUUUAAAAUAAAGUGUGGAAUCUUAAAAAAAGAACUCCAAAAAAUUCUAGUAUUAUGCGUAAGAUUUGCGGUAAGAUUUAUGAGUUUUGUAGAAAAAACUGCGGAGACUAGCCUUAUGGCUAUCGCACAAGAUUUUUUCAAACUCCCGAAAGAUUGUGUAUAAGCUAAAUUUAGCCUGAUUUUUCAAAGGGAUUCACA